rnacentral:tRNA from 1 species
GCCCGGGUAGCUCAGUGGAAGAGCUCUCCUCACGGAUUGGGUGAGUGUCGUGGGUUCGAGUCCCACCCAGAGUU